GACGAACGCUGGCGGCGUGCCUAAUACAUGCAAGUCGAACGCUUCUUUCCUCCCGAGUGCUUGCACUCAAUUGGAAAGAGGAGUGGCGGACGGGUGAGUAACACGUGGGUAACCUACCCAUCAGAGGGGGAUAACACUUGGAAACAGGUGCUAAUACCGCAUAACAGUUUAUGCCGCAUGGCAUAAGAGUGAAAGGCGCUUUCGGGUGUCGCUGAUGGAUGGACCCGCGGUGCAUUAGCUAGUUGGUGAGGUAACGGCUCACCAAGGCCACGAUGCAUAGCCGACCUGAGAGGGUGAUCGGCCACACUGGGACUGAGACACGGCCAGACUCCUACGGGAGGCAGCAGUAGGGAAUCUUCGGCAAUGGACGAAAGUCUGACCGAGCAACGCCGCGUGAGUGAAGAAGGUUUUCGGAUCGUAAAACUCUGUUGUUAGAGAAGAACAAGGACGUUAGUAACUGAACGUCCCCUGACGGUAUCUAACCAGAAAGCCACGGCUAACUACGUG
rnacentral:rRNA from 1 species